UCUGGGUGGGCGUCAUCUAAUCAGCUGCCAGUGUGUCUAGAAUGAAGCAGGCAGAAGUUGGAAAGAGCAGACCUGCUAAGUCUUCCAGCCCUUGUCUUUCUCCUGUGCUGGAUUCUUCCUGCCCUCAAACAUCAGACUCUAUAUUCUUCAGCUUUUGGACUCAUGGACUGACACCAGUGGUUUGCCAGGGCCUCUUGCACCUUUGGUUACAGACUGAAGGCUGCACUGUCGGCUUCUCUACUUUUGAGGUUUUGGGACUCAGACUGAUCCACCACUGGCUUCCUUGCUCCUCAACUGGCAGACGUCUUCUCAUGGGACUUGACUUUAUGAUCGUAGUGUACUUCUACUAAUUAAAAAGAAAAACAUUAACUGUACGACAGCCUCAGGCAGGAACUUCAAGAGUUUUCCAGAGAAGGCAUUGUUAUCAGAAGAGAUGACAGCUCCAUGCCUGUUAUUGCCCCUGAAGACUUCCCAGUGGGACAAGAUAUGGAGGGCCAGGCUUCCUGCACCAGCCUCAUGGAUGAAUUGCAGGGAAGAAAACAAGGAAGAGAAUCACAAAGGAAAUCUCAAAGAAAAAGAAAUAGGAACUAAGAAAAAAGUUCCACCCAUGAAAGGUAACAACAUUUGAAACAAUCCAUGAAGCUAUCAAGAUGACAGCACUACUUGUUUGAUAAUUAUUCCUGUAGAAAUCACGUCAUGACUUUUUUCAGCAUUUUUUUCUUGAAUUUUCACAAAAAUAAGCAUCCUGUGACAUUUUAUGUUCAGAAAAAAAAUUCAAAUUAUUUUCAAAUAUUUUGAAAUUGGCAAAAUACAAAAAGACAUUUGCCAAUGUUGCUUAAAUUUUUAAAUGUGUGUGUUUUUUGUGGAAACUUCAUCCUUAUGUUUCUCGUUCAUUUACAAUUAGCUGAUGACAAUGUUUUGUAAGGGUUUGAUAUCAGUUAUUUUCAAAAGUAUCAUUAAAUAAUUUAUUUUUAACUAUAGAAAGUUGAAAAAACAUUAUUUGUUUACUCUUUGUAGAUGUAAGUGGCAUAUUGUUAGAAGACUAAUCAAUGUUUUCAGCUUUUUAUAUUCUUUAUAAAACUGCUAAACAGUUAAAGUAAUAGGAGUAACAGUAGAAGAAGUAAUCAAAGGAAGACAGAACAAUCUAAAUGAGAGAGGGGAAAAAAUGGGAAAAAAUAUACAAUAAAAGGAAACAGCCAAAUGAUCCAGCCUCAAAGACAAUUCUCCUAAAAAAUGCAUGCUGUACAACCUUGCAAAUAAAUUGGUUUUAUAUUUUCAGAUGUGGAAUAUGAAGAAUUUCUAUUCAUACAAUGGAGAGCAAGUACAGUCGACUCUCAUACUACAGGGAUUUGAAUUGUGCAGGUUCACUUAUAUGCAGAUUUUCUUUCCUUCUGCCAAGCCAAGACAGUAAAGCCAACCCCCUUUCUUCCUCCUCCUCCUCAGCCUACUCUACCUGAAGACAAUGAGAAUUAAGACCUUUAUUCACUUAAUCAAUGUAAAUAUAUUUUCUUUUCCUUAUGAUUUAGUUAACUUUUUUUGUCUGGCUCAUUAGUUGUAAGAAUGCAGUAUAUUACAUAUAUAGCAUAAAAAUCAGUGUUCAUCAACUGUUUAUGUUAUCAAUAAGGCUUCCAGUCAACAGUAAGCUAUUAGUAAUUCAGUUUUUGAGGAGUCAAAAGUUGUAUGUGGUGUUUUUUACUUUGUUGGCAGUUGGCACCCAUAACUGACGCAUUGUUCAAGGAUGAACUAUACUAGAAUUCUGAAUAAUUGUUCAAACAAACCAUAGCAGGUCUGCAAUCUGCAUCUUUACUCCUCUCCUUUCACUCCAUCCUUUAACACAUCUACACCCCACAGCUGGAUCCACCUGAGUCAGACCCCCAAGUAGUACAAACAUAAGAUGAAAUCUCACUAUGUGUUCAAAACUGUUGAACACAUGUCCUGUAAGCCCUAUGCAACUUAUUUUCUAACAUUUAGAUGUGAAAAUUCAAGAAAUACAAUUGUCAAAUGAUGCAUUCUAUGAAGGCCAGAAAUAAAUAGUAAUUGAACCUAAUAUCUCAUUUGAUGAGACAGUGUUUGCACCAUUUGAAAAAUAAUAUAUUCUUCAAAAUUUCUCUCAAUUCUGAAAAUACAAGAGCAUUACCACUAAUACUUAGCAAUUAUCAACACUCCACAUACCAGGCUUUCUGCUUGGUGUUUUGCAUGUAUGAUUGCUAAUCCUCCACAUAGCAGGAAAAUUAUGUCUUUUUAAUCACAUUUUACAGAGAAGAAACUCAACAGGCUCACCCUUCCCAAAAUUUCCCAGUGAUUACUGUUUUAGGAAUAUGGUCUUCAGAAAUAUUUCCUACUCUCUCAGCAUCCCCACAGUAUUGGCUAUAAGGAACAUAUAAAAUUAAUAGGGAAGUGUUCCUAUUACAAAUGUGAGUACAUGUAUGUAUAAGUAUAUACAUGUGUCUCUAUGUAACAAACAUUAUGCACAAUACCUACCAAAGCUCUAGUGGUCUUGUGGCUCUGCCACCUCUAACACAGGAGGUUCAAGUCCAUUGUCAAAUUGGAGGGUCAUGUGAGAUAUUUUCAAAUCUAGGCCUGAAAUUCACUUAUGUCACUUCCCUCCACCUCCUAUUUGCCAGACCCAAGUGUAUGCUGUGCUGAAUCAAAGACACUGUCUCUUCAACAGUCCACUAUUAUGGUCGCCAAACCAGUUUCAUUCUUUCAGGUUUUGAACACACUUUCCAUCUCCCCAAAGGAAUCGUUUCUAUUCUGUCCUAUCUCAUCAUUGCAUAUGACUGAAGACCAGGGUCAUCAAGAAUGUAGAGUAGUUUCUCAUGCAUCUGGAUAUGGCCCCUGUUGGUCCAAUGACCUAUCAACUAAAAUUGCAAGUUGUUUGCCACCACAUACCUGACAUGGGGGGAGAACGCUCACAAUAAACAUGUCUAAUCCGAAGGAGAAAGUCAGAAGGCAUACAGCAGUCACUGGUUGGUGAUAUUCUGAAACCUUGCUGAGUAGCUAUUUUGAAAACACUUUACUUUAGGGUUCUGAGAGAUUCUUGAUUAGGCCUUUGUCUCUUUCUCUGGGGAAAAAUCUCCCUUACACAUGUCCAUCUAGACCCUACGUUCUGGAAAGGUACUCUUGUCCACGAAUCUGCCUGUCCACAUCUGAAAUGGGAAUUCCUUAGAAAGUGACCAUCUCAUGAAAAUGAAAAUCCGAGGUCUUGCUUUAGAUGUUAAACAGCCAGAUUUCCUUGACAAUUGUUUAGAAACAACUCUCAGACUGCGUUUUUCAUCUCCUCUUACCCACAGCAAACAUCAAAAAAGAAGACUUCUGUGACUAAAUGUGAGGGGAGGGAGCUUUUCCCUGACCAAGCAACUCCUCAGUGGAUAUCAACUGGGUAUCCUCCAAUUAACUCCAACACUAUCUACCUAUCAGAUCUCACAGGUUGAGGACUCAGUCCCCUAAACUUCUCUUGGCUUCAGACUUCACAAGUCUAAGCCUCCAGAAAUUCCAACCAACCAGCUUCAGGUUGGGCCUUCCAAAAUCCCCUCUUUGGGCUCAAUUAAUUUGCUAGAGUGGCUUACAGAACUUAGGAAAAUACUUACCUUUACUAGUUUAUUAUAGAGGAAAUUACAAAGAAUACAGAUGAAGAGAUGCAUAGGGUGAGGUAUGGGGGAAGGGUUAUAGAGCUUCCAUGCCCACCCUGGGCCUUGCCACCCUCUAGCAACCUCCACACGUUCAUCUAUCUGGAGGCUCCCUGAACCCCGUCCUUUUGUGGUUUUAUAGAGGCUUCAUUACACAGAUACAAUUGACAGCCAUGUAGAAAUGUGACUGGACAAAUAACACAUAAUCUAAAACCAAUGAGGCUUGUCUCUUCAGACUUUUCUUGGACCCUUUGUGUAGCAUUCUUUCUUCUAGGGUAGGAGCAGGGAUUUUCUUUGGAAUGAUUUUUUUUUUUUUUCUUUGAGACAGAGUCUUUCUUUGUUGCCAGGCUGG